rnacentral:rRNA from 1 species
AUUGAACGCUGGCGGCAUGCUUUACACAUGCAAGUCGAACGGUAACAGGCCGCAAGGUGCUGACGAGUGGCGAACGGGUGAGUAAUGCAUCGGAACGUGCCCAGUCGUGGGGGAUAACGCAGCGAAAGCUGCGCUAAUACCGCAUACGAUCUAUGGAUGAAAGCGGGGGACCGUAAGGCCUCGCGCGAUCGGAGCGGCCGAUGUCAGAUUAGGUAGUUGGUGGGGUAAAGGCUCACCAAGCCAACGAUCUGUAGCUGGUCUGAGAGGACGACCAGCCACACUGGGACUGAGACACGGCCCAGACUCCUACGGGAGGCAGCAGUGGGGAAUUUUGGACAAUGGGCGCAAGCCUGAUCCAGCAAUGCCGCGUGCAGGAAGAAGGCCUUCGGGUUGUAAACUGCUUUUGUACGGAACGAAACGGUCCUGGUUAAUACCCGGGGCUAAUGACGGUACCGUAAGAAUAAGCACCGGCUAACUACGUGCCAGCAGCCGCAGUAACAC